rnacentral:lncRNA from 1 species
CAUGAGAAAGGACCCAACUUUGGCCUUCAAGUGAGUUGAUGGUGUUGAGGGAGUGAACCUGGGAUCCUGGGAUUCACUGCUGAACCCUCUGGAGGUGUCGUGGCCCUAUCAGUGAAACACGCAAGAAGGAGGGCACUCACUUGACAACCCAAAGGAUGCCAUCACUCACUUCACCAUCCCACAGAGUCUCAUCAGUGCCUCAAGUAUGUACCCAAUGAGAGAUAUCAACAUCAGUCAUACACAACAAAUUAGUUCAAUGUAGUUUAAGUAGAUAUUAGAGGAGUCUGAUUUGGUAAAACCAUUGUAUGUGUUUGUAAACUCCUGCAAAAGCCGGUGCUCUACAGGCCAGGCUACACUUACAUCAGUACUUUUUGAGGGAUCAGGGUUUGAAGCAGAGGAAGUUAAGGGUUAUGUGGCUUUCAGUCAGUCAUACAAAGUAAUUUAAGACAGAUUUAGGUGGGCUGUUUUCAAGGUCAUGGCAAAUGGAGGUGCUGGGAGAGGUAUGGGUCAGUGGUGUGGACCUGAGAAAGGAAGUCACUGUGAUAAAUCCACUACGGGUGCUGUGGCAGCUCUUGAAAUAUAACAGCCUUUUCCCAGCUCUGUUGUUUUCUUUUGCCAUUUCGAGCCACAUAAUGAAAUGUGCCCACAGCUUUGUCUAGCUGCUGAAGAUAUAGAGUAACCAUGAGGGACAGUGGUGAAGUGUUUGCUUUACCACUUUAAACAGCUAAAAUAAACACCAGCGUUCAUUAGCGCACAGCCAUUACUUCCAGCUAUGUCAUUCACAAGAUCCAGAGUCAAAUCUCUCAGGUUACUCUGCUACUGUCAAAUGUCAUGUUUUACAACUGCUGGCUUUUAUUGUAGGUCCUGUGGCUUCUAUACAACGGGCCUCACAGCGGUAUGCGCUUUAACACCCACCCUGCUUCGCUCACAUGCGGCCGCAGUGACUCGUUGUGUAAUGGAGACAGUUAUAUCAGGGCCGAUGCUCUCUGGCAGUGCGGACAUGCCGCUAUGAGUGCAUGUUGUUAUUGGAAAAAGCAGAGAGCUGAGCGAGGUCAGGGCUGCUGCGUAGCACCUCAUCAGUCAGCCCAACAGCCCAGAGGAGGGAUUGUUUAAAUUUGGCUCCGCUCCCUCGUCUUGAGUUACGUCCAGAUGGUCGAUGAGAAAGUUGAGAGACGGGGGUCUCGCUUGGUCGAGUGUUCAGAGAGUCACUUCUUCAAUUUAAAAACGGCCAAUCAUUUCAUAUGACGUCCAAAUGCUUCUUCUAUAGACAAAAAACACCCCUCCUGAUACUCAUAACUCACUGUUCCUUUAAAGUUCACUUCACAAGGUCACUAAACCGGGGUCUGGCUUCUCUCUGAGAAAUUGUAGUGUGUCCUAAGCCAGAUGGCCUCCUACACCACAUGAGAAGUGGUUUCACCUGCAAGGCAAUCAGACAUUUGGAGUGUAGGUACCUUUUCUCUGAAAACAAGCUGACAUGUGGCUGGUUCUGUGUUUUAUCGCUGAACAUCCAGUAAAUGUUUCCAUAUGCUCUUUGUUUACAGUCCCACUGGUUUUCCUUGCUGUGUUCUCCAGUGACAUGUUGAACCAAACCUGCUGUUCUCAAUCAGAGAUGUGGAGCUUUUUGACAUUCAUUAUGAUUUUAUGUCACGUCUUACAGUGUUUCAAGUUCAGAGGAAAAGUCAACUGUAUAAAGUCUACAUAGUUUAUUCAUACAUAUCAUUUCUCCCUCAGCUGGAACAGGAUCUCCUGCCUGUACCAGACAUAUCGCUUACAAAGUAAUCAGUAAUGUGAUGUCUUGUUUAUAAUCUUUUAACUUAAGUAUUAACAGAUAUAGUAAAGACUGUCUAACAAGUAUAAACCACAGCUAAUUUGAAGUAUUAAAACUCCAUUCUAUUUUGAUUAGUAAUGAGUGAAAGUGGCCUGAUUGAGAUUUGAAAGGGUCUUUAAUGAACUUUGAAGUCUCCCUCAACCUUCUUUUGAAACUUUUUUUAGACUUUGCUACGACUGACUUGUUGACAGGAACUUUACGAAGUGUACCAAACCUGACAGAGAACAGUCAUAGCUGUGUCCGGCUCUGUCGCAUACAUUCACAAGAAAAAACAAAGCACGACUGUUGCUGAGUAACACACCUCUGUCCAGUCUGCCAGAUUGCACCGAUAACGGAACAACCAAAUUGAACUAUGUGCAAGCAGAAAUUUGUGGAGUUGUGUAGAGCACAUCAGUUCUUAGUGUGAAACUGAACACUGAUACAAACAAAGAAACAAAGGCGAAGGACAGCGCUGUAUUCCAGUCCAGUUCACAAAGUUACAAUACCAUCUGUAUAGUUUAGAGGAGGCCUGCUGGUCUGACUACUUAAACAUGUGCCUGUUCAAUCCAAGUUACUAUCAGUUGUAGCACAAACAAAGCUGAAUGAGAAGUUUUUAAUCCUUGAGCAUUAAAAAAUAACCUCCAAAGUCUUUUGCUUGAAAUGAGGCCAAAAUAUAAAUCUCAACUCAUCACUGUGCUGAUCCAAGGAAACGUGAAUUAUACCGUCUUCUCUUUAUUUAUGAUUUGGCAAGGUUUUUAAAAUCAUUUUUGGCAAACUGCAGUGUUAUUUUUGGGUCUGUCAAACUUUAAAUAUUUCAAAUUACGAUAAAUCACAGACUUUCAAUCAUAAAUUUGGAAGAAAGCACUAUGAAUUGCAUGUUUCAAAUUUUUAGUGUUUUGCAUGCCGGAACAGCUUUCAAGUCUAAAUUAAUGAUAAAAAGCAAUCCUUGGUGUCUUUGAUGUGAAAAUCAAACGAAUACAAAGAAACAUACUCUAUGAUCUUGACUUUAACUUUAUUUUUCAUUUUAAUGCUGUGAUGAAAAUGAAAUUAAACUAUGAUACAAAGGUAGGAAACGGCUUAAAAGUGCCUUUUCUUUCCUAAAACAUUUAUUUUUUUAAAUAAAAACACUGCUAACAUAAACAAGUAUUAACAUGUGGGGUGUUUAUGGCCUAGUGGUCCAAGCGCCCCACAUAUGAAGGUUAUAGUCCUCAUCACUCUUUGGCUAUCCAGUCUAAUAAAGGUAAAAACAUUUAAAAGUAUGAAUUAAAAAAACAAAAUAUGAAUAUGCAUGUAAAAAAAUGUCACUCUAGAUGAGUGUCAAUAUGGUGUGUUCAUAUGCUGAGAUAAUUUUAAUAACUCUCUUACAUCCUGUAAACCCUGUUUAAUGCAACAACAUUAGCAUUUUUCAGGAUUUCUAGUUUGAGUUUUUGUUUCUGUUCUUCCUUUUUCUUCUUUUCAGUGAGAGGGCAGAUAACCAGCAGCCGUGCCUCAUUAAAAGGCUCCUCUCCUCUCUGGUUGUACCUGAUUUAACUGCAGAGGAAAGCGGACAAACAGCCACACAGAGACGCAGACCGAGCUGCUGUUUUGUGAGACACAGUGGGGAGCCGUACACUGUGAUAGGAGGUCACAAGGAGCCUACAGGAUGCAGCAGGUGGGGAGCGAAGUCCGGUGAACCAGAUGAUGUUGAUGUUGGUGAUGAUAAUGAGGCAUUGCAGUGUGACCUGGAAGUCUUACUCAAAAAUAGAGAGGGGAAAAUAAGACACAGUGCAGAAGAAAGACUAAAAAACACUCAGAGAGAAGAAAACCACAUUGGAUCAGCCAGUUUGAGACAGGAGAAAAACAGAUGACAAAGAAAAGUUAAUACAGGGUCAGUCGAGAGAGAGAGGAGACAGAUUUUGACUCAGAGAAAAAGAAACAGACAAAGAUGAGUAUCA